rnacentral:rRNA from 1 species
CGCGGCAAGACGGAAAGACCCCGUGAACCUUUACUAUAGCUUGACACUGAACAUUGAGCCUUGAUGUGUAGGAUAGGUGGGAGGCUUUGAAGCGUGGACGCCAGUCUGCGUGGAGCCGACCUUGAAAUACCACCCUUUAAUGUUUGAUGUUCUAACGUGGACCCGUAAUCCGGGUUGCGGACAGUGUCUGGUGGGUAGUUUGACUGGGGCGGUCUCCUCCUAAAGAGUAACGGAGGAGCACGAAGGUUGGCUAAUCCUGGUCGGACAUCAGGAGGUUAGUGCAAUGGCAUAAGCCAGCUUGACUGCGAGCGUGACGGCGCGAGCAGGUGCGAAAGCAGGUCAUAGUGAUCCGGUGGUUCUGAAUGGAAGGGCCAUCGCUCAACGGAUAAAAGGUACUCCGGGGAUAACAGGCUGAUACCGCCCAAGAGUUCAUAUCGACGGCGGUGUUUGGCACCUCGAUGUCGGCUCAUCACAUCCUGGGGCUGAAGUAGGUCCCAAGGGUAUGGCUGUUCGCCAUUUAAAGUGGUACGCGAGCUGGGUUUAGAACGUCGUGAGACAGUUCGGUCCCUAUCUGCCGUGGGCGCUGGAGAACUGAGGGGGGCUGCUCCUAGUACGAGAGGACCGGAGUGGACGCAUCACUGGUGUUCGGGUUGUCAUGCCAAUGGCACUGCCCGGUAGCUAAAUGCGGAAGAGAUAAGUGCUGAAAGCAUCUAAGCACGAAACUUGCCCCGAGAUGAGUUCUCCCUGAGACUUAGAGUCUCCUGAAGGAACGUUGAAGACGACGACGUUGAUAGGCCGGGUGUGUAAGCGCAGCGAUGCGUUGAGCUAACCGGUACUAAUGAACCGUGAGGCUUAACCUU